CGGGUGAGUAACACGUGGAUAACCUACCUAUAAGACUGGGAUAACUUCGGGAAACCAGAGCUAAUACCGGAUAAUAUAUUGAACCGCAUGGUUCAAUAGUGAAAGACGGUUUUGCUGUCACUUAUAGAUGGAUCCGCGCCGCAUUAGCUAGUUGGUAAGGUAACGGCUUACCAAGGCAACGAUGCGUAGCCGACCUGAGAGGGUGAUCGGCCACACUGGAACUGAGACACGGUCCAG
rnacentral:rRNA from 1 species